AAUUUCUUACUUCACCAAAACUCAAUAUUACAAUAGAAAAUCAACGUACAACCAAUAACAACCAACAAAACAACAACAAAAAAAUACUUCCAAAACAAUUCAAAUGUUGAAAUUAAGCAAUCAAACCUCAUGCAUAUUCAUCCAACUUAAAUAAUAUGCAAAGCAUCAAAAAAGUAUGCAAACAAUCACCAAAAUAAAUUUUUUCACACAUUCCAAACUAAUAAAAUCAAAAACUAAAAUAACACAACCAUCUAAUACUCCAUUCCAUCCUCCUCAUCCUCUCCACCAUCAUCAUCAGAGCUAGGGGCGGAGAACGAGGAAGCUCGAUCAAGAGGCGGAGGAAGUUCUUCUCAGAGCAAAGACCGUAUGCCCUUCCCUUGUACACGCCUCCAACUAUAUCCGGCCAGCAGGAGAGAGUUUCUUCAUCUGACGGCAUGAUUGAAUUGUCUUAAUCAUCUAUCGGUCGAUUCCUUUUGAGCUCUUCGAUUGCUUGAACAUAUCGAUUCUACAUUAAAAGUAAAAUUAGUAUAUAAUCAACGGUAUGAAAUAAAUUCUAGGUAAGAUUUGAACUACACUUAAUCAUUUUCAAAAAACAAGUUCACAUUUUCAAGUUACUACACUUUACCAUUUUCUAGUAACUAAUUCACAUUUCUAGUGAUUAGACUUAAUCAUUUUCUAGUCACUAAUUUACAUUUCAAGUCGCUACUUUUAAUCAUUUUCAACUCACUAGUACACAUAUCAAGUAAGUCACAUUUCAAGUCACUACACUUAACCAUUUUUAACUCACCAAUACACAAUUCAAGUAACUAAUUCACAUUUCAAGUCACCAUACUUAAUCAUUUUCAACUCACUAAUACACAUUUCAAGCGACUAUACUUAAACCAUUUUCAAGUCACAAAUUCAUAUUUUCGAGUUAUUAGUUCACUACUUCAAGUGAUCACACUUCAACCAUUUUCAAAACACAAGUUUACAUUUUCAAGUCACAAAUUCACAUUUCAAAACACUAUACUUAACCACUUUCAAGUAACUAAUUCACAUUUCAACUCACUAUACUUAACUAUUUUCAACUCACUGCAUGACAUAUGCUACAGCUCAUCUCAACACAAUGUUUAGACAACUUUCCAAUCUUGUUUUUACUUUGCUCCUUUCUUCUAGAUUUGUCAGGUCUGCCUGGCAGAUUUCUUAUUGUUGGAGGUAAAACAGAAGGGUUGGUUGAUUUUGACCACAUUUGCAUAUUGGUAACAUGGUGAUUUUGAUGGUUCUAAUUUCUUAGUUGAUCAGGUUGAUGAGAGUGCUGAUGCAGUUGGAAUUAAAAAGCUUUGCAGCUUCAUCCAGAUAAGAAUAAACAUCCCAACGCUGAAAUUGCAUUAAGUUGGUUUCCCAGGCAUAUGUUUGCCUGACGGAUGAAGCAAGCAGAGAGGCUUUUGAAACAAACAGAAGAAAGCGGUAAGUGCUGCAUAGAAUCAAGUGAAAAAAAACACCUAGCUAUGGAAAUGCUGCAAAGGUGGC